rnacentral:rRNA from 1 species
UUCCUAACGGUCCUCGUCCGCGAGGGCGGGGAAUCAACCGCUAGGAUCGUUUACUUUGAGGAAAUUAGAGUGUUCAAAGCAGGCGUAACUCGCCUCCGAAUACGUUAGCAUGGGAUAAUGGAAUACGACUUCGGUCUUGUUUCGUUGGUUUCGCUUGGCUGAAGUAAUGAUUGAUAGGGACAGUUGGGGGCAUUAGUAUUUAGUUGUCAGAGGUGAAAUUCUAGGAUUUACUAAAGACUGACCAAUGCGAAAGCAUUUGCCAAGGAUGUUUUCAUUAAUCAAGAACGAAAGUAGGGGGAUCGAAGACGAUCAGAUACCGUCGUAGUCUCUACCGUAAACUAUGCCGACCAGGGAUCCGGAGAGUUUGCAUGGAUGACUCCCCGGGCACCUUGUGAGAAAUCAUAAGUGUUUGGGUUUUGGGGGGAGUAUGGUCGCAAGGCUGAAACUUAAAGGAAUUGACGGAAGGGCACCACCAGGAGUGGAACCUGCGGCUUAAUUUGACUCAACACGGGGAAACUUACGAGGUCAGGACACUGUGAGGAUUGACAGAUUGAGCCCUCUCUU